CGCUAGCUACAGGCUUAACACAUGCAAGUCGAGGGGUAGCAUGGUCUUAGCUUGCUAAGGCCGAUGGCGACCGGCGCACGGGUGAGUAACACGUAUCCAACCUGCCGUCUACUCUUGGACAGCCUUCUGAAAGGAAGAUUAAUACAAGAUGGCAUCAUGAGUCCGCAUGUUCACAUGAUUAAAGGUAUUCCGGUAGACGAUGGGGAUGCGUUCCAUUAGAUAGUAGGCGGGGUAACGGCCCACCUAGUCUUCGAUGGAUAGGGGUUCUGAGAGGAAGGUCCCCCACAUUGGAACUGAGACACGGUCCAAACUCCUACGGGAGGCAGCAGUGAGGAAUAUUGGUCAAUGGGCGAGAGCCUGAACCAGCCAAGUAGCGUGAAGGAUGACUGCCCUAUGGGUUGUAAACUUCUUUUAUAAAGGAAUAAAGUCGGGUAUGGAUACCCGUUUGCAUGUACUUUAUGAAUAAGGAUCGGCUAACUCCGUGCCAGCAGCCGCGGUAAUACGGAGGAUCCGAGCGUUAUCCGGAUUUAUUGGGUUUAAAGGGAGCGUAGAUGGAUAUUUAAGUCAGUUGUGAAAGUUUGCGGCCCAACCGUAAAAUUGCAGUUGAUACUGGAUAUCUUGAGUGCAGUUGAGGCAGGCGGAAUUCGUGGUGUAGCGGUGAAAUGCUUAGAUAUCACGAAGAACUCCGAUUGCGAAGGCAGCCUGCUAAGCUGCAACUGACAUUGAGGCUCGAAAGUGUGGGUAUCAAACAGGAUUAGAUACCCUGGUAGUCCACACGGUAAACGAUGAAUACUCGCUGUUUGCGAUAUACUGCAAGCGGCCAAGCGAAAGCGUUAAGUAUUCCACCUGGGGAGUACGCCGGCAACGGUGAAACUCAAAGGAAUUGACGGGGGCCCGCACAAGCGGAGGAACAUGUGGUUUAAUUCGAUGAUACGCGAGGAACCUUACCCGGGCUUAAAUUGCAGAUGAAUUACGGUGAAAGCCGUAAGCCGCAAGGCAUCUGUGAAGGUGCUGCAUGGUUGUCGUCAGCUCGUGCCGUGAGGUGUCGGCUUAAGUGCCAUAACGAGCGCAACCCUUGUUGUCAGUUACUAACAGGUUCCGCUGAGGACUCUGACAAGACUGCCAUCGUAAGAUGUGAGGAAGGUGGGGAUGACGUCAAAUCAGCACGGCCCUUACGUCCGGGGCUACACACGUGUUACAAUGGGGGGUACAGAGGGCCGCUACCACGCGAGUGGAUGCCAAUCCCAAAAACCUCUCUCAGUUCGGACUGGAGUCUGCAACCCGACUCCACGAAGCUGGAUUCGCUAGUAAUCGCGCAUCAGCCACGGCGCGGUGAAUACGUUCCCGGGCCUUGUACACACCGCCCGUCAAGCCAUGGGAGCCGGGGGUACCUGAAGUGCGUAACCGCGAGGAGCGCCCUAGGGUAAAACUGG
rnacentral:rRNA from 1 species